CCUACGGGAGGCAGCAGUGGGGAAUAUUGGGCAAUGGAGGCAACUCUGACCCAGCAACGCCGCGUGAAGGAUGAAGGUCUUCGGAGUAUAAAGUUCUUUUCGAAGGGAAGAAGAAAGUGACGGUACCUUAGGAAUAAGCCUCGACUAAAUAAGUGCCAGCAGCAGCGGUAAUACGUAGGAGGCAAGCGUUAUCCGGAAUGACUGGGCGUAAAGGGUGCGUAGGUGGUUUGACAAGUUAGUAGCGCAACUCCGUGGCUCAACUUCGGAACUACUACUAAAACUGUUGGACUUGAGUGCAGGAGCGGCAAUCGGAAUUCCUAGUGUAGCGGUGGAAUGCGUAGAUAUUAGGCGGAACACCAGUGGCGAAGGCGGAUUGCUAGACUGUAACUGACACUGAGGCACGAAAGCGUGGGGAGCAAACAGGAUUAGAUACCCUGGUAGUC
rnacentral:rRNA from 1 species